AACGCACAUUGCGCCCCCUGGUAUUCCGGGGGGCAUGCCUGUCCGAGCGUCAUUGCAACCCUCAAGCGCGGCUUGUGUGUUGGGCCUCGUCCCCUGUAGACGUGCCCGAAAUGCAGUGGCGGUACCGUGCUCCGGUGCCCGAGCGUAUGGGCUUAUCACCCGCUCUGAGGCCCGGCCGGUGCCUGCCGACUUGGUGAACUUCUUUUCAGGUUGACCUCGGAUCAGGUAGGGAUACCCGCUGAACUUAA
rnacentral:misc_RNA from 1 species